rnacentral:rRNA from 1 species
AGCAGUAGCCGCGGGAAUACGAAGGGGGCUAGCGUUGUUCGGAUUUACUGGGCGUAAAGGGCGCGUAGGCGGACUGAUAAGUCAGGGGUGAAAUCCCAAGGCUCAACCUUGGAACUGCCUUUGAUACUGUUUGUCUUGAGUUCGAGAGAGGUAAGUGGAACUGCGAGUGUAGAGGUGAAAUUCGUAGAUAUUCGCAAGAACACCAGUGGCGAAGGCGGCUUACUGGCUCGAAACUGACGCUGAGGCGCGAAAGCGUGGGGAGCAAACAGGAUUAGAGACCCCCGUAGUCCCUGUCUCUUAUAC